rnacentral:rRNA from 1 species
GCUACAGGCUUAACACAUGCAAGUCGAGGGGCAUCAGGAAGAAAGCUUGCUUUCUUUGCUGGCGACCGGCGCACGGGUGAGUAACACGUAUCCAACCUGCCCUUUACUCGGGGAUAGCCUUUCGAAAGAAAGAUUAAUACCCGAUAGCAUAAUGAUUCCGCAUGGUUUCAUUAUUAAAGGAUUCCGGUAAAGGAUGGGGAUGCGUUCCAUUAGGUUGUUGGUGAGGUAACGGCCCACCAAGCCUUCGAUGGAUAGGGGUUCUGAGAGGAAGGUCCCCCACAUUGGAACUGAGACACGGUCCAAACUCCUACGGGAGGCAGCAGUGAGGAAUAUUGGUCAAUGGGCGCUAGCCUGAACCAGCCAAGUAGCGUGAAGGAUGAAGGCUCUAUGGGUCGUAAACUUCUUUUAUAUAAGAAUAAAGUGCAGUAUGUAUACUGUUUUGUAUGUAUUAUAUGAAUAAGGAUCGGCUAACUCCGUGCCAGCAGCCGCGGUAAUACGGAGGAUCCGAGCGUUAUCCGGAUUUAUUGGGUUUAAAGGGAGCGUAGGUGGACUGGUAAGUCAGUUGUGAAAGUUUGCGGCUCAACCGUAAAAUUGCAGUUGAUACUGUCAGUCUUGAGUACAGUAGAGGUGGGCGGAAUUCGUGGUGUAGCGGUGAAAUGCUUAGAUAUCACGAAGAACUCCGAUUGCGAAGGCAGCUCACUGGACUGCAACUGACACUGAUGCUCGAAAGUGUGGGUAUCAAACAGGGUUAGAUACCCUGGUAGUCCACACAGUAAACGAUGAAUACUCGCUGUUUGCGAUAUACAGUAAGCGGCCAAGCGAAAGCAUUAAGUAUUCCACCUGGGGAGUACGCCGGCAACGGUGAAACUCAAAGGAAUUGACGGGGGCCCGCACAAGCGGAGGAACAUGUGGUUUAAUUCGAUGAUACGCGAGGAACCUUACCCGGGCUUAAAUUGCAGUGGAAUGAUGUGGAAACAUGUCAGUGAGCAAUCACCGCUGUGAAGGUGCUGCAUGGUUGUCGUCAGCUCGUGCCGUGAGGUGUCGGCUUAAGUGCCAUAACGAGCGCAACCCUUAUCUUUAGUUACUAACAGGUUAUGCUGAGGACUCUGGAGAGACUGCCGUCGUAAGAUGUGAGGAAGGUGGGGAUGACGUCAAAUCAGCACGGCCCUUACGUCCGGGGCUACACACGUGUUACAAUGGGGGGUACAGAAGGCAGCUAGCGGGUGACCGUAUGCUAAUCCCAAAAGCCUCUCUCAGUUCGGAUCGAAGUCUGCAACCCGACUUCGUGAAGCUGGAUUCGCUAGUAAUCGCGCAUCAGCCACGGCGCGGUGAAUACGUUCCCGGGCCUUGUACACACCGCCCGUCAGGCCAUGGGAGCCGGGGGUACCUGAAGUACGUAACCGCAAGGAUCGUCCUAGGGUAAAACUGGUGACUGGGGCU